rnacentral:rRNA from 1 species
AAAAGUAAGUAAGGGCACAUGGCGGAUGCCUUGGCUCUCGGAGGCGAUGAAGGACGUGAUAAGCUGCGAUAAGCUGCGGGUAGGUGCAAAUGACCUUUGAUCCGCGGAUUUCCGAAUGGGACAACCCGGUACCUUGAAGAGGUACCAUUCCACAAUGUGGAAGGCUAACGCAGGGAACUGAAACAUCUUAGUACCUGCAGGAAAAGAAAAUAAACAAUGAUUCCCCCAGUAGUGGCGAGCGAACGGGGAACAGCCCAAACCAUCCAUGUUACGGCAUGGGUGGGGUUGUAGGACCACGCCGUGGCAAGAAAGUUGGUGAGCAGAAUGUUCUGGAAAGUACAGCCAUAGAGCAUGACAGCUGCGUAUGCGAAGCCAAGCGAAGCCUAGUGGUAUCCUGAGUAGCGCGGAGCACGAGGAAUUCUGCGUGAAUCUGCCGGGACCAUCCGGUAAGGCUAAAUACUCCCGAGAGACCGAUAGUGAACCAGUACUGUGAAGGAAAGGUGAAAAGCACUUCGAACAGAAGAGUGAAAUAGUUCCUGAAACCAUGUGCCUACAAGCGGUCGGAGCACUUUUAGUGUGACGGCGUGCCUUUUGCAUAAUGAACCUACGAGUUACUUUUUCCGGCGAGGUUAAGGAUCUCAGAUCCGCAGCCGAAGCGAAAGCGAGUCUGAACAGGGCGUAUAGUCGGAAGGAGUAGACGCGAAACCAAGUGAUCUACCCUUGGGCAGGUUGAAGGAUGGGUAACACCAUCUGGAGGACCGAACCAAUAAGCGUUGAAAAGCUUCUGGAUGACCUGAGGGUGGGGGUGAAAGGCUAAUCAAACUUGGAGAUAGCUCGUACUCCCCGAAAUGCAUUUAGGUGCAGCCUUGACUUAUACUGACAUGAGGUAGAGCGACUGAUAAGAUGCGAGGGCUUCACCGCCUAUCAAGUCUUGACAAACUCCGAAUGCGUGUCAGUUCUAUGUCAGGAGUGAGGGCAUGGGUGCUAAGGUCCAUGUCCUAAAGGAGAACAAUCCGGACCAACAGCUAAGGUCCCGAAAUGAAUACUAAGUUGAACUAACGAAGUCAGAUUGCUAAGACAGCUAGGAUGUUGGCUUGGAAGCAGCCAUUCAUUUAAAGAGUGCGUAACAGCUCACUAGUCGAGGAGUUUGGCGUGGAUAAUAAUCGGGCAUAAGUAUUCUACCGAAGCUUUGGGAUGAGAAAUCAUCGGUAGGGGAGCAUUCCACUCUGCGUCGAAGGUAAGGCGUGAGCCUUGCUGGAGCGUGUGGAAAAGCAAAUGUAGGUAUAAGUAACGAUAAAGGGGGUGGGAAACCCCCUCGCCGAAAGACUAAGGUUUCCUGAUCAACGCUAAUCGGAUCAGGGUAAGUCGGGUCCUAAGGCUCAGCCGAACGGCGAGGCCGAUGGCAGAACCGGUUAAUAUUCCGGUACUACCUUAAGGAGUGACGUGGAGACGGAGUCGUGACAGCGCCGCGGACUGACGGAAUAGUCCGUUGAAGGGUGUAGAUGUUGAUUGUUCCAGGCAAAUCCGGAACGAGAGUCGAACCUGACAGUAUGGAGCGUCCUUCUGGACAAUCCAAUAGUGCGUGUAAUCAUACUUCCAAGAAAAUCCGCUAAACUUAAUCCUUACGGUACCCGUACCGCAAACGGACACACGUAGUCGGGUUGAAUAUACUAAGGCGCUUGAGUGAUUCACGGUUAAGGAACUAGGCAAACUGACCCUGUAACUUCGGGAUAAAGGGUCCUCAAGCAAUUGAGGCGCAGAGAAUAGGUCCAGGCAACUGUUUAACAAAAACACAGGGCUGUGCAAAAUUGAAAGAUGAAGUAUACAGCCUGACACCUGCCCGGUGCUGGAAGGUUAAGAGGAGACGUCAUCGCAAGAGAAGCGUUGAAUUGAAGCCCCAGUAAACGGCGGCCGUAACUAUAACGGUCCUAAGGUAGCGAAAUUCCUUGUCGGGUAAGUUCCGACCUGCACGAAUGGUGUAAUGAUCUGGACGCUGUCUCA